rnacentral:misc_RNA from 1 species
GAUGAAGAACGUAGCGAAAUGCGAUAAGUAGUGUGAAUUGCAGAAUUCAGUGAAUCAUCGAAUCUUUGAACGCACAUUGCGCCCUUUGGUAUUCCUUAGGGCAUGCCUGUUCGAGCGUCAUUUGAAACCUCAAGCUCAGCUUGGUGUUGGGUAUCUGUCCCCGCCUCACCGCGGGGACUCGCCUCAAAAUCAUUGGCGGCCGGUACGUUGGCUUCGAGCGCAGCAGAAACGCGAACUCGAGGCCCGGCGGAUCGGCGACCAGAAGUCACUUCUUCACAGUUUGACCUCGGAUCAGGUAGGGAUACCCGCUGAACUUAAGCAUAUCAAUAAGCGGAGGA